UAUGAGAGCUGCUGUCCCUGAUACAAUAAGACAACUAUAGAAAGAAGAAGCUGGCUGUAGGAUCAGGAAGCCACUGCAACAGCUCCCAGUUCCAGAAUCAAAUCACUUCUGCCACGAUCUCCACUAACCAGUAUUCAAUAGAGCCCACUAAGAAUUCUAUAAAGGUAAAAUUACUGAGGAAAUCAACCAUAACAACUGCUGGAGGGCAGACUGAACCAGAUUUGGAAAAUCUUAGUUUUCCCUAAAGAAUGGGGCAAAAAGCCAUACCCUUCACCUCCAAAUCAGAUACAGUCAAGGCCUGAAGCUCUUAAGACACAAGAAGAAAUUGCAGGCUUUGGAAGAGAAGGAACUGGAAGGAUGUUACCUCCCCACCAAUGGAUUGCAAGAAAAAGUUAUGCCUGUACAUCCAGCAAAGGAGAAAUACAGGUGACAGCAGAAAAGAAGACCCCAGGCACCGAAGACCCUCUGCCCCUAAGGGUAGCAAGAAAUAACCUUUGGUGUUCUAU
rnacentral:lncRNA from 10 species